rnacentral:rRNA from 1 species
GACGAACGCUGGCGGCGUGCUUAACACAUGCAAGUCGAACGGAAAGGCCCUUCGGGGUACUCGAGUGGCGAACGGGUGAGUAACACGUGGGUGAUCUGCCCUGCACUUUGGGAUAAGCCUGGGAAACUGGGUCUAAUACCGAAUAGGACCACGCGCUUCAUGGUGUGUGGUGGAAAGCUUUUGCGGUGUGGGAUGGGCCCGCGGCCUAUCAGCUUGUUGGUGGGGUAAUGGCCUACCAAGGCGACGACGGGUAGCCGGCCUGAGAGGGUGACCGGCCACACUGGGACUGAGAUACGGCCCAGACUCCUACGGGAGGCAGCAGUGGGGAAUAUUGCACAAUGGGCGCAAGCCUGAUGCAGCGACGCCGCGUGAGGGAUGACGGCCUUCGGGUUGUAAACCUCUUUCAAUAGGGACGAAGCGCAAGUGACGGUACCUAUAGAAUAAGCACCGGCCAACUACGUG